rnacentral:lncRNA from 1 species
GGGGCAUGUAUAUUCUUUCAAAUUAUUUACAUCUUACGUUUCUUCUCUUACAGAGUCAGAGUAUAUACACAUAUCUUUAAAUAUCUCCUAUCCCAAGUAUGGAAGGUGAGUACUGCACAACGUCGUAGCCUACAAUAAAUCACGCUAUAGUUCUGUUCAUUUUCUUGUCCUUAAAUCCAUAUGCCGAGUACUACCAUUUUCGACCUUCCGUGAAGCGUGCAUUUAUAUAAACUACGUUUCAAAACGUUUCUUCCGCGGAGUUUGUCAAACAAACUUUUUGUUUUUAUGUUCUAAUUUUUUUGGGUGUUCUAUCAAGCUGUCGUUGUUUUGCACGAGUUUUAGCGUCAAAACGCAAAAGAACACUUCUAAUCUGGAAAAUAAACAAAUCCCGUGCUAUAAAUCUGACAUUUCGCUUUCUAUAGCAAUUUUCUCGCGAUAAAGUAUGAACAUGCCCAUGCGAAAUAUAAACAUGAAAGUUUUGCGUGCAAAACAAUUUAGUUGAUACAGUACCACCACCACGCCCUGCGAAGUUAUGACUGUCAAAGUUUUGAUUGAUAAACGCCGGCCGAAAAAACGUUUAGAAACCUAGUUAGGGACGGACCAUUAGAAAAGUGAUGGGGGGGGGGGACAAAAAAAAAUUAUUCCCAGAAAAAAAAUUAGGGAAAAAAAUCUUCCCAGGCAUAGUGCAAAAAAAAAUUAAUUCCUUCCUUGGAAGAUAGGCCUAUAAAUUUUAAUUAAAAAAAUAUAUUUCCAGCCAUCAAGUGAGAAAAAAAAUUUCUUCAAUAGGUCAUAGGUGUACAAAAAAAAUUUUAUUGCCUCUUAGAAAAUCCCCCCCAUCACUUUUCUAAUGGUCCGUCCCUUAUAAAUGCACGCUUCAUUUUAUUGCAGUUAAUGAAAAUUCAUCUUUUUCAGAAAAUCCAGUUGCAGAUGUAAACUGCUACAUUCAUGCUGUUUCCCCAGUAGGAAAGGCAAGUGGUUCGGAGCGGAAAUACUUCAAUUGCACAGUCCAAAGUAAGCACAAAGUAGUUAGGGCUGUUUGUUUCUCCCCUGAAAAACAAAGCGAGAUGCAAACUCUCCAAAAGAACAAAAGCCCUGUGAGGAUGCAGAAUUUCCGCAUAUCAGCCAACCAAGGCAAAGAAGAUUUCAUCAUUCUGAAACAUACAAAGAUUACCCCAUUACCUGUUGGUGACCUUGAUUUUCCUUACAACGAUCAUUUGGGAAUGACUGGUUUGGCAACAAACAUUUCCUCCCUAC